rnacentral:lncRNA from 1 species
CCCCAGACUAAUUUUCCUAGGAAAUCAUGUCCAUGUCAUUAACAGUCCUAAGUUAAAAUGUCCAUGCCCUUAAUUUUAAAAGGUGAAUAUGAAUGUAAUAUGUUUUAAUAUUGCUAAAGACAAAACGAAAAAGUUGUGUAUCAAUUUGUUACAUAAAAUUUGUCUCCAGACUAAUUUUCCUAGGAAAUCAUGUCCAUGUCAUUAAUAGUUCUAGGUUAAAAUGUCCAUGCCCUUAAUUUUAAAAGGUGAAUAUAAAUGUAUUAUGUUUUAAUAUUGUUAAAGAGUUGUGUAUCAAUUUUUUAAAUAAAAUUUAUGUCCCCAGACUAAUUUUCCUAGGAAAUCAUGUCUAUGUCAUUAGUAUUCCUAGGUAAAAAUGUCCACGUCUUUUAUUAUAAAAGGAAAAUGUAAUAAGCAAUGGGAACUCAAUAUUCAUGUUUUAACUAGGUUAUAAAGGAA